rnacentral:rRNA from 1 species
UACGUAGGGGGCAAGCGUUGUCCGGAUUUAUUGGGCGUAAAGAGCGUGUAGGCGGCUAUACAGGUCCGCUGUGAAAACUCGAGGCUCAACCUCGAGACGUCGGUGGAAACCGUAUGGCUAGAGUCCGGAAGAGGAGAGUGGAAUUCCUGGUGUAGCGGUGAAAUGCGCAGAUAUCAGGAAGAACACCCGUGGCGAAGGCGGCUCUCUGGGACGGUACUGACGCUGAGAAGCGAAAGCAUGGGGAGCGAACAGG